UACGUAGGGUGCGAGCGUUAAUCGGAAUUACUGGGCGUAAAGUGUGCGCAGGCGGCCGAGCAAGUCGAGUGUGAAAGCCCCGGGCUUAACUUGGGAAUUGCGCUCGAAACUACUUGGCUGGAGUGUGGCAGAGGAAGGUGGAAUUCCAGGUGUAGCGGUGAAAUGCGUAGAGAUCUGGAGGAACACCAGAGGCGAAGGCGGCGACCUGGACAGAUACUGACACUCAAGCUACGAAAGCGUGGGGAGCAAACAGG
rnacentral:rRNA from 1 species